UAGGGAAUCUUCCGCAAUGGGCGAAAGCCUGACGGAGCAACGCCGCGUGAGUGAUGAAGGUCUUCGGAUCGUAAAACUCUGUUAUUAGGGAAGAACAAAUGUGUAAGUAACUAUGCACGUCUUGACGGUACCUAAUCAGAAAGCCACGGCUAACUACGUGCCAGCAGCCGCGGUAAUACGUAGGUGGCAAGCGUUAUCCGGAAUUAUUGGGCGUAAAGCGCGCGUAGGCGGUUUUUUAAGUCUGAUGUGAAAGCCCACGGCUCAACCGUGGAGGGUCAUUGGAAACUGGAAAACUUGAGUGCAGAAGAGGAAAGUGGAAUUCCAUGUGUAGCGGUGAAAUGCGCAGAGAUAUGGAGGAACACCAGUGGCGAAGGCGACUUUCUGGUCUGUAACUGACGCUGAUGUGCGAAAGCAUGGGGAUCAAACAGG
rnacentral:rRNA from 2 species